rnacentral:rRNA from 1 species
UAAAAAAAGGUAAGCUACUAAGAGCGAAUGGUGGAUGCCUUGACUGGUAAAGGCGAUGAAGGACGUACUAGACUGCGAUAAGCUACGGGGAGCUGUCAAGAAGCUUUGAUCCGUAGAUUUCCGAAUGGGGCAACCCAAUGUAUAGAGAUAUACAUUACCUAUAUAGGAGCGAACGAGGGGAAUUGAAACAUCUUAGUACCCUCAGGAAAAGAAAUCAAUAGAGAUUGCGUCAGUAGCGGCGAGCGAAAGCGCAAGAGGGCAAACCCAGUGCUUGCACUGGGGGUUGUAGGACUGCAAUGUGCAAGAGCUGAGUUUAGCAGAACAUUCUGGAAAGUAUAGCCAUAGAGGGUGAUAGUCCCGUAUGCGAAAAACAAAGCUUAGCUAGCAGUAUCCUGAGUAGGGCGGGACACGAGGAAUCCUGUCUGAAUCCGGGUCGACCACGAUCCAACCCUAAAUACUAAUACCAGAUCGAUAGUGCACAAGUACCGUGAGGGAAAGGUGAAAAGAACUGAGGUGAUCAGAGUGAAAUAGAACCUGAAACCAUUUGCUUACAAUCAUUCAGAGCACUAUGUAGCAAUACAGUGUGAUGGACUGCCUUUUGCAUAAUGAGCCUGCGAGUUGUGGUGUCUGGCAAGGUUAAGCAAACGCGAAGCCGUAGCGAAAGCGAGUCUGAAUAGGGCGCUUAGUCAGAUGCUGCAGACCCGAAACGAAGUGAUCUAUCCAUGAGCAAGUUGAAGCUAGUGUAAGAACUAGUGGAGGACUGAACCCAUAGGCGUUGAAAAGCCCCGGGAUGACUUGUGGAUAGGGGUGAAAGGCCAAUCAAACUUCGUGAUAGCUGGUUCUCUCCGAAAUAUAUUUAGGUAUAGCGUUGUGUCGUAAUAUAAGGGGGUAGAGCACUGAAUGGGCUAGGGCAUACACCAAUGUACCAAACCCUAUCAAACUCCGAAUACCUUAUAUGUAAUCACAGCAGUCAGGCGGCGAGUGAUAAAAUCCGUCGUCAAGAGGGAAACAACCCAGACUACCAGCUAAGGUCCCUAAAUCUUACUUAAGUGGAAAACGAUGUGAAGUUACUUAAACAACCAGGAGGUUGGCUUAGAAGCAGCCAUCCUUUAAAGAAAGCGUAAUAGCUCACUGGUCUAGUGAUUUUGCGCGGAAAAUAUAACGGGGCUAAAGUAAGUACCGAAGCUGUAGACUUGCACACAACUUAGAUUAUUUAAGUUUAGAAUAUGAGAAACUAAGUUAUAUGUUUAGUUAUAUUUUUACUGAUUUUUAUAGAGUAAAGAUAGAAAUAAAACUUAGUAAAAUCAGUAAAAAUAUUCUUAGGCUAAAGUUAAGUAGUUUAAGUUGUGUGCAAGUGGUAGGAGAGCGUUCUAUUUGCGUCGAAGGUAUACCGGUAAGGAGUGCUGGAGCGAAUAGAAGUGAGCAUGCAGGCAUGAGUAGCGAUAAUUAAUGUGAGAAUCAUUAACGCCGUAAACCCAAGGUUUCCUACGCGAUGCUCGUCAUCGUAGGGUUAGUCGGGUCCUAAGUCGAGUCCGAAAGGGGUAGACGAUGGCAAAUUGGUUAAUAUUCCAAUACCAACAUUAGUGUGCGAUGGAAGGACGCUUAGGGCUAAGGGGGCUAGCGGAUGGAAGUGCUAGUCUAAGGUUGUAGGAGGUUAUACAGGCAAAUCCGUAUAACAAUACUCCGAGAACUGAAAGGCUUUUUGAAGUCUUCGGAUGGAUAGAAGAACCCCUGAUGCCGUCGAGCCAAGAAAAGUUUCUAAGUUUAGCUAAUGUUGCCCGUACCGUAAACCGACACAGGUGGGUGGGAUGAGUAUUCUAAGGCGCGUGGAAGAACUCUCUUUAAGGAACUCUGCAAAAUAGCACCGUAUCUUCGGUAUAAGGUGUGCCUCCCUUUGUAUUAGAAUUCACUUCGAAAGCAAAGAAGGUUACAACAAAGAGUCCCUCCCGACUGUUUACCAAAAACACAGCACUCUGCUAACUCGUAAGAGGAUGUAUAGGGUGUGACGCCUGCCCGGUGCUCGAAGGUUAAUUGAUGGGGUUAGCAUUAGCGAAGCUCUUGAUCGAAGCCCGAGUAAACGGCGGCCGUAACUAUAACGGUCCUAAGGUAGCGAAAUUCCUUGUCGGUUAAAUACCGACCUGCAUGAAUGGCGUAACGAGAUGGGAGCUGUCUCAAAGAGGGAUCCAGUGAAAUUGUAGUGGAGGUGAAAAUUCCUCCUACCCGCGGCAAGACGGAAAGACCCCGUGGACCUUUACUACAGCUUGACACUGCUACUUGGAUAAGAAUGUGCAGGAUAGGUGGGAGGCUUUGAGUAUAUGACGCCAGUUGUAUAUGAGCCAUUGUUGAGAUACCACUCUUUCUUAUUUGGGUAGCUAACCAGCUUGAGUUAUCCUCAAGUGGGACAAUGUCUGGUGGGUAGUUUGACUGGGGCGGUCGCCUCCCAAAUAAUAACGGAGGCUUACAAAGGUUGGCUCAGAACGGUUGGAAAUCGUUCGUAGAGUAUAAAGGUAUAAGCCAGCUUAACUGCAAGACAUACAAGUCAAGCAGAGACGAAAGUCGGUCUUAGUGAUCCGGUGGUUCUGUGUGGAAGGGCCAUCGCUCAAAGGAUAAAAGGUACCCCGGGGAUAACAGGCUGAUCUCCCCCAAGAGCUCACAUCGACGGGGAGGUUUGGCACCUCGAUGUCGGCUCAUCGCAUCCUGGGGCUGGAGCAGGUCCCAAGGGUAUGGCUGUUCGCCAUUUAAAGCGGUACGCGAGCUGGGUUCAGAACGUCGUGAGACAGUUCGGUCCCUAUCUGCCGUGGGCGUAAGAAGAUUGAAGAGAUUUGACCCUAGUACGAGAGGACCGGGUUGAACAAACCACUGGUGUAGCUGUUGUUCUGCCAAGAGCAUCGCAGCGUAGCUAAGUUUGGAAAGGAUAAACGCUGAAAGCAUCUAAGCGUGAAGCCAACUCUAAGAUGAAUCUUCUCUAAGCUCUCUAGAAGACUACUAGUUUGAUAGGCUGGGUGUGUAAUGGAUGAAAGUCCUUUAGCUGACCAGUACUAAUAGAGCGUUUGGCUUAUCUUUAAUAAAGCAU